GAUGAACGCUAGCGGCAGGCUUAAUACAUGCAAGUCGAGGGGCAGCAGGGUGUAGCAAUACAUCGCUGGCGACCGGCAAACGGGUGCGGAACACGUACGCAACUUUCCUUUAAGCGGGGAAUAGCCCAGAGAAAUUUGGAUUAAUACCCCAUAACAUAAUGAGCAGGCAUUUGCUUAUUAUUAAAGAUUUAUCACUUAGAGAUGGGCGUGCGGCUGAUUAGGUUAGNGGUCAGGGUAACGGCCUACCAAGCCUACGAUCAGUAGCUGAUGUGAGAGCAUGAUCAGCCACACGGGCACUGAGACACGGGCCCGACUCCUACGGGAGGCAGCAGUAAGGAAUAUUGGUCAAUGGACGAAAGUCUGAACCAGCCAUGCCGCGUGGAGGA
rnacentral:rRNA from 1 species